rnacentral:rRNA from 1 species
AUGGCGGGACUGAAGCCCAGCGUCAACCUCUUCGCGCUCCUCGACCGCAACGAUCCCGGCGACAAACUCGUGACCGACCUCGACGACGCCAAUGCCAAACAAGAUGCGACGGCGGCGGCCAAGCACAAGAAGACGGCGGCGCCGGCUGCCAGUCUUACCAAGGAUCUAUUGGCCCAGGCAUACCCUACCGCACGGGAUUACGUGAUCAGGAAAAAUCAGCUGGAGAGACGGGCCAGGGCCGAGGCCGAGGCGGCGGCAAGGGCAAAGACGAACAUCGGAGUUUCCGGCGGUGAUAAGAGCGCGGGGGCUUCGGCCGACAGCAGCAAGGUACAAGAUGGAGCAAGGCGAGGCAUCAGAUACAGCAAUAACUACUACAACAACGGAGCAUCGAGGAAGCAGCAACCCGGCAUGCCGGGAAAGUUUGGAGCUCCACAGAGGCAGCUACCCAACAUGCCGCUGAACGGGGCGCCCCCUGCAGAAGGCGUGGAGGCGCCGCCGCCACCGAGCCUAGAUGACACCAACGAGUUCCCUUCGUUGAAGUAG